UUGCUGUGAUCACCAUCUUGGGACACCUUUGGAACACCCGUGACAAACAUUUCGACAGUUCUUCUGAGCAAC